UACGGAGGGUGCAAGCGUUGCUCGGAAUUAUUGGGCGUAAAGGGCUCGUAGGCGGUUUGUCGCGUCGGGAGUGAAAUCCACUGGCUUAACUGGUGGCUUGCUUUCGAUACGGGCAGACUGGAGGUAUGCAGGGGAGAACGGAAUUCCUGGUGUAGCGGUGAAAUGCGCAGAUAUCAGGAGGAACACCGGUGGCGAAGGCGGUUCUCUGGGCCAUUACUGACGCUGAGGAGCGAAAGCGUGGGGAGCGAACAGG
rnacentral:rRNA from 1 species